AAAGUCGUAACAAGGUUUCCGUAGGUGAACCUGCGGAAGGAUCAUUAACAAUUCUUCUUAACAAAUCAACCCUUUGUGAACUGGCCUCUAGCAGGGUUGCGCUACUACUACUUUGUUGUUGUAGCUGCUGCUUAAAAGUCCCGCUGAGGUGAUAAUAAUAAUGCUAGCGUUGCGAGUCCAACAGCUCUGGCUGUUAGAUGAGCAUACGUAGCACUACUAUAUAGACUAUAUGUAUGACUAUUUGAGUAAUCAAAAACAAAUACAACUUUUAACAGUGGAUCUCUUGGCUCCU
rnacentral:misc_RNA from 1 species